rnacentral:rRNA from 1 species
CUGCGGAGGAUCAUUACCGAGUGCGGGCCCUCGUGGCCCAACCUCCCACCCUUGUCUCUCUACACCUGUUGCUUUGGCGGGCCCACUGGGGCUCCCUGGUCGCCGGGGGACGCCUGUCCCCGGGCCCGCGCCCGCCGAAGCGCUUCGUGAACCCUGAUGAAGAAGGGCUGUCUGAGUACUAUGAAAAUUGUCAAAACUUUCAACAAUGGAUCUCUUGGUUCCGGCAUCGAUGAAGAACGCAGCGAAAUGCGAUAAGUAAUGUGAAUUGCAGAAUUCCGUGAAUCAUCGAAUCUUUGAACGCACAUUGCGCCCCCUGGCAUUCCGGGGGGCAUGCCUGUCCGAGCGUCAUUUCUGCCCUCAAGCACGGCUUGUGUGUUGGGUGUGGUCCCCCCGGGGACCUGCCCGAAAGGCAGCGGCGACGUCCGUCUGGUCCUCGAGCGUAUGGGGCUCUGUCACUCGCUCGGGAAGGACCUGCGGGGGUUGGUCACCACCACAUUUUCUAUUAUGGUUGACCUCGGAUCAGGUAGGAGUUACCCGCUGAACUUAAGCAUAUCAAUAAGCGGAGGAA